rnacentral:rRNA from 1 species
CAGCCGCCACGGGAAUACAGAGGGUGCGAGCGUUAAUCGGAUUUACUGGGCGUAAAGCGUGCGUAGGCGGCUUUUUAAGUCGGAUGUGAAAUCCCUGAGCUUAACUUAGGAAUUGCAUUCGAUACUGGGAAGCUAGAGUAUGGGAGAGGAUGGUAGAAUUCCAGGUGUAGCGGUGAAAUGCGUAGAGAUCUGGAGGAAUACCGAUGGCAAAGGCAGCCAUCUGGCCUAAUACUGACGCUGAGGUACGAAAGCAUGGGGAGCAAACAGGAUUAGAUACCCCUGUAGUCCCUGUCUCUUAUAC